rnacentral:rRNA from 1 species
GACGAACGCUGGCGGCGUGCCUAAUACAUGCAAGUAGGACGCAGUUGCGAACGGGUGAGUAACGCGUAGGUAACUGCCUAUUAGAGGGGGAUAACUAUUGGAAACGAUAGCUAAUACCGCAUACUAGUAGAUGGACCUGCGUUAUUGUAGCUAGUAGGUAGGGUAAUGGGCUACCUAGGCGAGGAUACAUAGCCGACCUUAGGGGGUGAGCGGCCAACAUGGGACUGAGACACGGCCCAGACUCCUACGGGAGGCAGCAGUAGGGAAUCUUCGGCAAUGGGGGGAACCCUGACCGGGCAACGCCGCGUGAGUGAAGAAGGUUUUCGGAUCGUAAAGCUCUGUUGUUAGGGAAGCGGUACUUAACCAGAAAGGGACGGCUAACUACGUGCCAGCAGCCGCGGUAAUUC